UACGGGGGGGGUAAGCGUUGUUCGGAAUUACUGGGCGUAAAGGGUCUGUAGGUGGCUUGCUAAGUCAGACGUGAAAUCCCUCAGCUUAACUGGGGAACUGCGUCUGAGACUGGCGAGCUUGAGUGCAGGAGAGGAACGCGGAAUUCCAGGUGUAGCGGUGGAAUGCGUAGAGAUCGGGAAGAACAUCGGUGGCGAAGGCGGCCAGCUGGGCCAUUGCUGACGCUGAUGCGCGACAGCGUGGGGAGCAAACAGG
rnacentral:rRNA from 1 species